GAGCCAGGUGCUUGGGAAGAGAUGCCACCAGAAGGAGGGAAGCCCUGGGAAAACCAAGAGAGUUUGGAUUGAGGAAAUUGACUGAGGAUCCCAAAGGGGCACAGAUUUGGCCUGACAUGCCCAGAGGUUCUUGGGAACCAUUUCGAGCAGGUGCACAGCAGCCACUGAACCCGCCCCACACCGUCUGCUCUCUGGCAGCCCAGACAAAGAAGAACUCUAGACCUCAGAAUCCUGCAGGAGCGAUGAUACAUGUCUUGACAAACAGGAGCUCCUCCUGCCCCUGAGAGGGCUCCAGCUGCUCCUGACCCUGGGCCUGGCUGUUCAUCUUCUCUUCAGCUUCAAUCUCUUCUGAUGUGGGGAUGGAGUUCUUCUUGGGGCGACCUUUGGGUUUUGUGGGUGCUUCCUGUCCACCUUUAAGAACCUACGGUGACAGUGAGGGUGACCAACAGAUAAUGUGUAUGAAAGGACCAGAACGGCACCUGAAUGCUAACACACAGAUAUUAAGGGGACCUUUAACGAGGUAGAGAUGCUGACAGAAACCAACCCUGGGGAGAAGACGUUCCCUGUAUUUCUUUUCACCUUUAUAGGGCAGCGAGGGCCACAUAACUGAUGACUGUUUCCAUGAAGCUGAGAAACAAGUUUGGAUUCCCCAGCAUGAAUCUCCUCCCAGACACUGCUGCUCCCAUUAGCUGACUUUCUCAGCCUGAAGAUGUGAUGUUCCACUGGACCUCAGGCAAGGCCCCAAAUGCCAAGGCGCUGACUUGGAGAUGACUGGGGAGCAGGGACUGAGAAAGGACAAAUGCUCAGGGCUGUGCGGAGUCCCUGAAACUCAUAGAAUUCACUUUUGGCUUAUGUAUCCUGGCCUCCAAAUAUUUGGAUUCUCUGAAGACAUGGAUUUUGUGGCUAGGUCUUCACCUGCAGCUGAGUGAGUCCCAGAGACUGAGCCAAGUCCAACCUAGAAGGCACAAGAUACAAAGGAAAGAAUCCAACAGAGGAAACUCUGGGAAGCUGAGAAACAGAUGCCCAUGCCUGAGGACACCUGGGCCAGUCCCCA
rnacentral:lncRNA from 10 species